rnacentral:lncRNA from 1 species
UUCAGCUUAUGUCAUUGUUCAAUGUGUAUUCUGAUUAUUCACAAAUAAAUCAUUUACUGGAAAUAUAUAGAAUUGAAUAGUCCGAACAGUACAAAAAUAAUGUUCAACUGUAAAUAGUCCGGUUCGAAUUGUCGAAACACUGUCUUAGUUUAUGGCAUGCUGUUAUGAUAGGUGUCGAUGUUUUGCGUCCAACAUUUAUUAACGGGCCUCCACCAAAUAUUAUAACAAAA